UACGAAGGGGGCUAGCGUUGCUCGGAAUUACUGGGCGUAAAGGGCGCGUAGGCGGACAGUUUAGUCAGAGGUGAAAGCCCAGGGCUCAACCUUGGAAUUGCCUUUGAUACUGGCUGUCUUGAGUUCGGGAGAGGUGAGUGGAAUGCCGAGUGUAGAGGUGAAAUUCGUAGAUAUUCGGCGGAACACCAGUGGCGAAGGCGACUCACUGGCCCGAUACUGACGCUGAUGCACGAAAGCUAGGGGAGCAAACAGG
rnacentral:rRNA from 1 species